rnacentral:snRNA from 1 species
UAUCUCUUCAUAAUACAUUUCUU